GGGAAAUGCAGCCUGCUUUGCAGAGAAGCCAACCAUCGCAGGGGUCUCUUUGAGCACAGAAGAAAAGGGAAGACAUGUGGCCGUGCAAGAGACAGAGAGGUUAACUACAUCAACAGCCUUUCUGCUUUCCAGUGCUACCCCAUCCAUUGUAACCGAGUGAAACCCAGUGCCGUUAGCUACGAGUUUCUGCUCUUGGUUGUCAAGUUCCUGAGGAUAUUUGUCCUGGCAGGAUUCUGCAGCAGGAUCUGCUGGAGCAGCUUUUUAAAUAUCCUCCUGAGUCUCCUGAGGUUGCUUCAGUAUGUUUGGAUAUGUCCACCUCCUCCACAGGCUCCUCUGGGCUACUGAUCUGAGGAGCUGAGACAGAUUUGGUCAGUUUGGUAAGCUCCACUACUCUUUCUUCUUCCUCAAAGGGUAAAGAGCUAAUGGAUGUGAGAGAUGCUUGUAUCCCGCUGGGCAGGCUGGUAUUGCUUUCUGUGUGCCCACCCUCCAGGGAAUUCCGGUGGAUGGCAUGUCUCCUUACCAAGUGGUGCAGGAUCUCUCGAUCACUGGGCAGCUCCAGAGCCCGGCUCCGAGCAUCAGACCACGCCACUGAACUUGGUUCGCUUUCGAUGCCUGAAUCUGAUAUAAUAGAGGAGGAUCUCUUUAUGACCCCUGACAUCAGGGUAAAUUCUUCACACUCCUCAGUUCGUUGCUCCUUUGCAAACAACUUCACCUCCAAGCUGUGGGAGGGCAAAGCUUUUAAAACAGGAUGCAGAGGCUUGCUAUCUGGUUCUGGUGUUCUUUCAAGCCUGGUGAAUUCACUCAGUGCAGGCUCAGAACUGAAAUUAUUCUCAAGAUGACCAGAUUCAGAUGUUUUAUGUAUUUCAGUCCUGCUUUCCAAGCCAUCAG
rnacentral:lncRNA from 1 species